AUGCUGCGCACCUUCAGAGCGGGGCCAAAAUCGGUCAACCUAAUGUCUGCACCUCUCCAGAGCCCAUCCUCUGCAGGAGCCACAGUGCCCCGCACGGCGUUGGCUCACAUUUGGUGGGACUUGGCGCACGGCUGCUGUGACAUCCCGCGGCCCCUUCCCCUCUGGCAGGGCCAGCGUCACCUCCAGGUCCAACGCGCCACCUCCGUGGACUUGGCACAGAGGAGGAGAGGAGCCCAGGGGAGCGGGCAGGUGCGAGGGGAGCAUCCCGAGGUGGGCCGGGGCCGCCUACGUGGCGACGUCGUGGUCGCGCCGCGGCAGGCGCAGGAGGAAGGUCUGCAGGGAGCCGCUGCGGGGGAAACCCGCCCGCUCCUUCUUGAACCUCCAGGUCUCCUCUUCCACCGAGUAGAGGAGCGUCAACAUCUUGUUGACCGUGUAGACCGUGUCGCCCUUGAUGAGGGCGGUGAAGAGGGCUCCUUUGCUGUUCACGAACUGCCCGGGCAGAGCCGUCCACUGCCGCGAGGUCAGGUUGAAGCAGUCGAUGACGCAGCGCAAGAAGUCGUCCGAGGGGCCGUUGCGCAUGACGUAGAGGUUGUCGCGGUGGGCCACCAUGCAGUGCCCGUAGCUCUGCUGCCGCUUCAGCUCGGUGACGGGGAGCCAGGCGUCCUGCUGGCUCUCGUACUCGUAGAUGACGGUGGUGUCCAGCGGCUUCCACAGGCAGACGAAGAUCUGCCCCAGGGCUUGGGCGCAGGGCGCGGCCGAGCUGGGCUGCGGCAGGUCGGAGACGAAGGUCCAGGUGUUGGAGGACACCUCGUAGCGCUCCACGGACUUCAGCGAGAUCUUCUCGUACUCACCGCCGAUGGCGUAGAGGCAGCCCUCGUGGCCCACCAGCCGCACGUCGUAGCGCAGCUGGUGCGGGCUGGGGAACUCGCUCCAGGCGUUGGUGUCGGCGUCGUAGCAGAAGCUGCUCUCCACCACCUGCUUGCUGGCCCCGUAGACGCCCCCCACGAUGUAGAUCUUGUUGUCCAUGGUGGCCAUGCCGGCUAG
rnacentral:lncRNA from 1 species